AUUUGAUGUAGUAUAGGAAAUCUAUUACUUUGUUAUUGUAUGUUGGGCAUGAGUUUGAAUAAUUAUGCAUUCUUUUAGGGUGUUUGCUAUUUUAUGGGGGCUUUGGAGUGAAAGAAAGAACAUAAUCUUAAAGGUGUGAGAGUUCUAAUAAUAUUUGGUCCCUCGUUAGAUUCUCUGUUUCUCUCCAGGCUGGGGUUUCUUAGCUAUUUUGUA
rnacentral:misc_RNA from 1 species